GAUGAACGCUAGCGGCAGGCCUAAUACAUGCAAGUCGAACGAGAUUAAGGGGCUUGCUCCUUAUGAAAGUGGCGCACGGGUGCGUAACGCGUAUGCAACCUACCUCAAUCAGGGGGAUAGCCCGAAGAAAUUCGGAUUAACACCGCAUAAAAACACAGGAUAGCAUUAUCUAAUGUUCAAAUAUUUAUAGGAUUAGAGAG
rnacentral:rRNA from 1 species